rfam:Citrus sinensis cultivar Ridge Pineapple sweet orange scaffold00934_contig_4, whole genome shotgun sequence.
AUACCAUGAUGAGGAUAUCUCCUUAAUAACUCCUUAAAUCUUUAUCAUGCAUCGUAUAAACUCUCAUCUUCAAGUUGAUGGAAAGAUGUGAUCUCAUUUCUCAAUUU